AAGUAAUGGACUAAAAGAGGAAACCAAAGAGACUAAACUUGUUUCUACGGUGAAGGCAAAUGGGGAGACAGGAGCUGCUAUCAUAGCUCCUAAAAAAGGCGGUGGCUGCGGUGGAGGAUGCAGCGGUGAAUGUGGAAACAUGGUGAAAGCAGCAAUCGCUAGCGGUUGCGGUAGUGGCUGUAGUGGUGAAUGUGGAGAGAUGGUGAAAAUAGCAAACGCUAGCGGCUGUGGUGGUGGUUGUAGUGGCGAAUGUGGAGACAUGAUGAAAGCAGCAAACGCUAGCGGUUGCGGUGGUGGCUGUAGUGGAGAAUGCGGAGGCAUGAUGAAAGCAGCAAACGCUAGCGGUUGCGGCGGUGGCUGUAGCGGUGAAUGCGGAAACAUGGUGAAAGCAGCAAACGCUAGCGGUUGCGGCGGUGGCUGUAGCGGUGAAUGCGGAAACAUGGUGAAAGCAGCA
rnacentral:lncRNA from 1 species